AUUGAACGCUGGCGGCAUGCUUUACACAUGCAAGUCGAACGGUAACAUAAGAAAGCUUGCUUUCUUGAUGACGAGUGGCGAACGGGUGAGUAAUACAUCGGAACGUACCCUGUAGUGGGGGAUAACUACUCGAAAGAGUGGCUAAUACCGCAUACAACCUGAGGGUAAAAGUGGGGGACCGCAAGGCCCCACGCUAUAGGAGCGGCCGAUGGAAGAUUAGGUAGUUGGUGGGGUAAAGGCCUACCAAGCCGACGAUCUUUAGCGGGUCUGAGGGGACGAUCCGCCACACUGGGACUGAGACACGGCCCAGACUCCUACGGGAGGCAGCAGUGGGGAAUUUUGGACAAUGGGCGAAAGCCUGAUCCAGCAAUGCCGCGUGAGUGAAGAAGGCCUUCGGGUUGUAAAGCUCUUUUGUUUGGGAAGAAAUCCUUAAGGCUAAUAUCCUUGGGGGAUGACGGUACCAAAAGAAUAAGCACCGGCUAACUACGUGCCAGCCGCCGCGGUAAUAC
rnacentral:rRNA from 1 species